rnacentral:rRNA from 1 species
UACGUAGGUGGCAAGCGUUGUCCGGAUUUACUGGGUGUAAAGGGCGGGUAGGCGGGAUAGCAAGUCAGAUGUGAAAUUCCGGGGCUUAACCCCGGCGCUGCAUCUGAAACUGCUAUUCUUGAGGGUCCGAGAGGAAAGUGGAAUUCCCAGUGUAGCGGUGAAAUGCGUAGGGAUUGGGAGGAGAACCAGUGGCGAGGGCGGGUUCCUGGACGAUAACUGACGCCGAGGCGCGACAUCCUGCGGAGCAAACAGC